AUGCUCGCUUUGGCAGCACAUAUACUAAAAAUUGGAAUGAUACAGAGAAGAUUAGCACGGUCCCUGUACAAGGAUGACACGCAAAUUCACGACACGUUCCAUAUUUUC
ensembl:snRNA U6 U6 spliceosomal RNA